rnacentral:lncRNA from 1 species
CCAACGACUAUGAUGCGUACAUGUGUUUAGAUGAUUGGCUGCUACGCCAAAUUUAGUUAAAAGUUUCCUUCUCUUCACAACUUCAUCUUCAUAUUCUUCAAACCCAAAAUUCUAGUUAAACAAGUGAGUAAGAGGGGAGGUUGAGGGCAGAAAAUAGUAGAGAGAGGGAGAGAGAGAGUGUGACGCACCAAAAUAGAGUAUACGUUCUGUGUGUGUAACAGAGGGGGGAAACUUCUUCUUCUAGCUGAGGUAAGCUGUUUCUUCUUCUUCUAAAUUUUUUUGUUUGUCUCUUUAAUGUCCUACGAUCACUUCGACACAAAAAUCUAGCUCUCAAAUUCUAGCAGCAAGCUCUAGAACCCAACACAGUUGUUGCUACACCUACAUGAUGCCACUGUUCAGGUAAACAUCUGUUCUUCGUCCAAUUAAAAUUCUGUUUCAUGUUUCCUUUAAAAAAUUCGUAGUCAAUCACUAAGAUAUUGUCUUAGGAUUGUUAGGAUUUUAUUUUCGAACGUAAAACAGCUUUUAAACUCAAAAUCUAGCUCAAAAUCAUCACUCUGCUCUAUAAGCACAGCUACUAUGAGUUACAGAGAAGAAUUCUUGAAUUUCCAACAUUUUCUUUAUGCGAUUUAGCUUCUGUCUCGUCCGUUGAAUGGCGUAAGGUGGGUAGAAAUCUUGUUGAUGCAUGAUUUGAGAUUUUUAGAUACAUUUGACGAUUAAACUGCUUGAAUUAAUUUGGUAAUGUUACAUGUGUUAAGCUAAUGUGUGUGCGUCUCAUGAAAUGUGAUUUUUACAAAUUAAAAUUAUAUUUUUGAUGCAUGAAUGAAUACAAUGAAUGGGUGUUGGUGAUUGAUGCUUAGAAAAUAAAGUAGAAAAAAAAUUUCAAGGAAUUGAAUCGAAUGGUUCUGUCACAAGCAUGCGGCACCAAGUUGAUGUUGCUGCUGGGGAUGUACUGUUCUGUAGCUUGAGAGCAUGCAUGGGAUGUUUCCAUCCAGAAUAGUUUAGAAAUGCCCCUCAGGCAAUGGCUGAGUUAGAAGAAAAAGGAAAUUUAUAAAAUUUGGGAUUAUGGAAAUUAUUUGAGAUAAAAUGGGUCAAUUAGUAAGGAUGAAUGGUUUAAAUUCAAAUGGAAAGAUAAAAACUAAAUCACUUAAUAAAUAAUUAAAUUCUCUUAGUAAUAUUAGGAUUUAAAUAUAAAAAUAAGGAAAUUCACAAAUUAUAAAAUAAACUAAAAUAUUAAGAAGAAUUAAGAUUUUAAUUUUAUGGACUUACAAUAAAAUUUAUGAAUUUAAGGAAAAAUAAUGAAAUUUAAGAAUUUAACUAAAUAAAAUAAAAGUAAAAAAUUUAAAUAAACAUAGAAUUUGGUUUAAAUUUGAUUCACCGUAUUUGUUUUGAGGAGUAUUUGGUUUGUUUAUUUGUUCAAGAGCCCCUAUGUUAUGGGUGCUAGUUUUGGUUCUUUAAUGGUUCAUGUAGGUUCAAUUGUCCUUAAGGACUCUAGACAAUUUGAUAUUCAUGUUCUGGGGCCCAAGGGCAUAAAUGAUGGCGACAUGGAGAGACUUGAGAGAAUUACAUUUGUAUUUGUUAUCUAUGAUUGUAUGUUUGUGAGCAUUUGCGCACCCACUCAUGACUAGUUAGUUAUACUUUUCGCACUCUUUGGAAAUAUGUAUAAGCGGUUGUGCGAGUAGGUUUGUAAUCACUGUACUUUAAAUUAAGAUAAUAACUA